GGCUCUAUAGUUCAACUGGAUAGAAUAUCAGAUUUCGGCUCUGACGGUUGCAGGUUCGAAUCCUGCUAGAGUCA
rnacentral:tRNA from 2 species